GUGCUCACUUCAGCAGCACAUAUACUAAAGUUGGAAUGAUACAGAGAAUAUCAGCAUGGCCCCUAUGCAAGAAUAGCACACCAAUUACUGACAAUCUCUACAAUACC